rnacentral:rRNA from 1 species
GACGAACGCUGGCGGCGUGCUUAACACAUGCAAGUCGAACGAAGCACUUUGAUUUCUUCGGAAUGAUUGGUGACUGUGUGGCGGACGGGUGAGUAACGCGUGGGUAACCUGCCUCACACAGGGGGAUAACAGUUAGAAAUGACUGCUAAUACCGCAUAAGACCACAGUACCGCAUGGUACAGUGAUAAAAACUCCGGUGGUGUGAGAUGGACCCGCGUCUGAUUAGCUAGUUGGUGAGGUAACGGCUCACCAAGGCGACGAUCAGUAGCCGACCUGGGAGGGUGACCGGCCACAUUGGGACUGAGACACGGCCCAAACUCCUACGGGAGGCAGCAGUGGGGAAUAUUGCACAAUGGGCGAAAGCCUGAUGCAGCGACGCCGCGUGAAGGAUGAAGUAUUUCGGUAUGUAAACUUCUAUCAGCAGGGAAGAAAAUGACUGUACCUGACUAAGAAGCCCCGGCUAACUACGUGCCAGCCGCCGCAGUAAGAC